rfam:Spinacia oleracea cultivar SynViroflay scaffold17860.con0006.1, whole genome shotgun sequence.
UAAAAGGGUCGGUUGGCUAAAUAUGCCAUGCUCGACUUGAGAUAAGGCGAGUGCUGUAUGGCUAUCAAGACAUAUGGCCGACAUAAUUUGUGGAAACUCUUAUAGGGUUGGCUCGCUUGGCCGACCCUCUUG